CACACCUUCUCCUGUCCGCUCACUGUUCUGUUGACUUUGGAGAGGCCUUCCCGGAACCCCGAGUCCGUCAUCCUUUGGGCAGACACCAGAAUUCAACACACCAAACCUGAACCCAGGCCCUGCCAUUUCCAGCCUGUAGAAUCCUCAGAAAGCCAUUCCCUGCCUGGGGCCACGCCUGGAAAACUGCAUUUGGCGAAGAAUUUCCACAGGCUCCCCAAGAGGCCGCAGUGGGAGAAUGGAACCAGGGAGUCUGCUAGGCACAUUGCCUGGUCUGCGGCAAUCAGUAAAUACUGGUUGUUCACUUUGGCUUCGGGAACUGGGGCUGUCUUGUUUAUCGGUAGCCUUCCCGCAAAUAUUAAGAACAGCAUUGUUCACUUGA